rnacentral:lncRNA from 1 species
GUUCACGCCAUUCUCCUGCCUCAGUCUCCCAAGUAGCUGGGACUACAGGUACAGGCGUGAGCCACCGCGCCCAGCCCACAUUUAAAAUAUUUUUUAAAAAAGAAAGGGUUUCUGAGUAGAUCAUCCAAUAGUGAUCUAUCACAUUCACACUUCUUCUCCAUAGUUUACUCUUAAUUAAAGUUUAAAAAGUGGCAUUGAUUGAACAGCAAUCUCCCUUUUUUGUUAUACUGAUCCGACUCUAAAAAUCACUUACUCCAAGGUGUUUAAAGGAAAGUAUUUUCCUACAACAUGACCACUAAAACAAGCCAACCACUUAAUCUGAUGUUCAGCUGAAGAAACAGCAAUCUGUUUUGACACUGAAAGGAAAACUGGCUGCGGUGAGCUCUCUGAGAGCUGGUGUACCAGACACCAUGGUGAGAACUAUUCUCCUACGCUCUUCUCAUGGUUUUAUGUGCCUUUCAUUCCUAGUGGUUACCAGAGUUGAGAUGUUACAUUUAUUUGUCUUAUUUGACUGAAAGAAUCUUCCCAGCCAAUAAUAAGCUCCAUGAGGGCAGAGGGAGAGACAGACAGACAACCUAAUGUUUUGCUAAUUCUUCCCUAAAAUUGGGUUUUUAAGUAUCUACUGACUAUUGCUUAUGCAUCUAAGGGUCAGCUUGGAAGUUUGGUCUGUAAUGUGCUUCAUGACACUUCUGAGAUCA